AUUGAACGCUGGCGGCAGGCCUAACACAUGCAAGUCGAGCGGAUGAAGGGAGCUUGCUCCUGGAUUCAGCGGCGGACGGGUGAGUAAUGCCUAGGAAUCUGCCUGGUAGUGGGGGAUAACGUCCGGAAACGGGCGCUAAUACCGCAUACGACCUGAGGGAGAAAGUGGGGGGUCUUCGGACCUCACGCUAUCAGAUGAGCCUAGGUCGGAUUAGCUAGUUGGUGGGGUAAAGGCCUACCAAGGCGACGAUCCGUAACUGGUCUGCGAGGAUGAUCAGUCACCCUGGAACUGAGACACGGUCCAGACUCCUACGGGAGGCAGCAGUGGGGAAUAUUGGACAAAGGGCGAAAGCCUGAUCCAGCCAUGCCGCGUGUGUGAAGAAGGUCUUCGGAUUGUAAAGCACUUUAAGUUGGGAGGAAGGACAGUAAGUUAAUACCUUGCUGUUUUGACGUUACCAACAGAAUAAGCACCGGCUAACUUCGUG
rnacentral:rRNA from 1 species